ACAUGUUUAAUCAAUUUUAGAAUAAGGUUGUAACGUAACAAAACGUGGAAAAAGUCAAGGGGUCUGAAUACUUUCCGAAGGCACUGUAUGUGACGAUGCUACAUAGCCUACAAGGAUAGACUGACAUUCAACACAUGUUGCGACCCAUAGAAUAAGUCACCUAGUUUACACACAUUUCGGUCAAUCAAAACAGCGCUACAGUCGGUCUCCAUGUGUGACAAGCGAAGUGGGAGAUUAAUAAUCAAUGCAAAAUAGAAUUGGCUAAAUGAGAUGUAGGCGGCUACAAUGCUCAACCAACAGGUUCUAUUACGACGUGUGGCUCAAUGCGACCUGAGACCAUCGUCAUGUCUGCUCUGGCAGUGCUGAAAAAGAAACGGAGUGAUUUACAGACCCAGCUGAGCCACGAAAUCCAGAGUGACGUCCUCACUAUCAACUGAGACCUGCAGUUUUAGCCAGUCCUACAACAUUGAGACUUGGAGAGCAGAUCCAGUUGCAAAUCAAACUUUUUGGAUGACAACAAACCUGAUGUAAGCAGGAAAAAAGUUUAUUCAAGAGCUCGCCAACUGAAAUAAGCAGUUUGUAUAUCGUCCACCACAUUUUGUCCUUUCUCUUCGUUCUCUGCUAUGUUAAUAUUUGUCCUUUUUGUUGAAGUUGUUUGCGGGAAUAUGUUUUGAAUGGUUUAUUUUGUCUACCGAAAGAAUAAACUCAAAUGUUCAUCCAGA